UUUGCUAUGCUGUAUUUCAACCAACUAGGAUACUCGUUAUACCAUGAAAUACAAAAUCGCCUAUCUUUAUUAGCCAUUUUUUUGGAUGAAAAUUCAUGAUUGAGAGGCUGACAUGGACCCCUUUGCGCAUAUGCUCUUCGAAUUACAUCUCGAAUAUUUGCAUCAUAAUUUUGUAUUGGAACCCUCAAUCCAGGAUCCGAAGAAAGCUGUGCAACAUCAAAUUCAAGCCUUUCAUCCCCAACAUCCCUGAUAUUUGUUUCAAUUGGAACAUCUCCAAGAUUAGAUCCACCAAUUUCAUUCAUUUCAUCACCAAGUUCGUCAUCCUUUUUAUCUCCAACAUCAUGUCCUUCCAUUUUAACUCUAACAUUUCUUUCAUUAACAUUUUGGUCAUCGCAAGGAAACACAGAUUUACGUUUAAAGUACUUUUCCAUAACUGAUACAAACAUGCAAUGAAAAGAAUCAAUUCAAGUAAAAAGUAAUCAUUCUAUCAAUAAUGAUUUAAGUUACUAAGUUUAACGGUUUCAUAAAUUACAAUCUCAUUAGUAAUGCUGUAUCUAUUUUGAAUUGUUGAUGUAGUCCCCAACUAAAUCUCACGAAUCACAAUUCACAAACACAAAUUACAAAUUAAUUAUCCAUCAACAAAUUUACAAUUUACAAAUGACAUAUUCACAAAUCACAAAUUCGCUAAAAUCAUAAAUUAACUGGAGCCAUCGGACGGAAAUUAAAAUCAGAACGCUAUAAAAACCUUAACGUUCUGGCGAACAACAAUGGAGGACUGGAAGCAAGUAGCAAUACAAUAGAAUGACGGGGCAGCACGAGAAGGCAGCACUACGUAUAUAUUUCAACUAAUAGGAAAAAAAAAAGGGAUUUUACGAAAAGCAGAAGACAGUGUGUAUCAUCACUCAUCAUCAACACAAUUAUAAGGAGACGUGAAUAAUUUUCAUAAAUUAGCAGUGAACAAGACACCCAAGGUCCCAAACGCAACCAUAAUUCCAAUUUUCAAUUAAAGCUUGAAAUUGGCCAAUUUUUUCAGUAAUUCUGCCAUCGAAAUCUCUCUGUGGAAGUUGGAUUACAAUUUACAAACAGAAACAACUUUCUUGAACAACUCAAAGUCUCAAAGAACAAAUGGGCUUCCAUUUUUCCUUCUUUUUUUCACCAAAAUAAUGUUGGUAAGAUUUUUUUUUUUUUUUUUUUUUUUUUUGGUUUUGGAAACUGAAUUUCUUGAAAUGGGCAUGUAUAAGAAACUCUCAACAUAUGGACCUUCCCCUCCAUAACCAUCUAAGAACUUAAACAAAAAUCUUUAAAACAAGAAUAAAUGUAUGGGAACUCAAAUAACGGGAAACGGGGAAAGUAAGUAGAAUCUUUAAUUUCUCUCUCCUCUCUUCCUCUCCUAGUGCAAGAACAUUAGCUUUCAAGAAUGAAAAUAUUAUAAUGAAGAAGCUGCACAGUGCACACAAAAAAAGGGUUACAAUUACAAGAAUAAGAAACAGAAAUAUUGAAUCCCAAAUUCCAUAUAUAAAAUUGCAGCACAUAAUAGGAAUAAUCUCCUUACAAUUCUAUGUGUAUUGCUGUCUUCAGCCAUUUGUGGUAGUAGAAUCAUCGACGGAGGGAAUUAAAAAAUCCGCAACGAUGGCACGGAUGGACUAAAUGGCUAUGUUUUGCUUCAAUGUUUGGAAUUGGGAGCCGCCGAGCCCAAAGACGGGAUUGAAUUAGGAGUAGGACGGUUUCUUGCAUUGAAUUUCAAUUUGGUAGUGGAAUAUGGGGAUAGAAAUCAGGGACGGUUUGGAGUCUGUGAAUUGG
rnacentral:lncRNA from 1 species